rnacentral:rRNA from 2 species
CGAGACCUCAGGUCAGGCGGGGCUACCCGCUGAGUUA